UCGGAUAUGGUGUAACGGCUAACAUUGCCGCCUCUCAUCGGAAUCUUCAACUGAAAUUGACUGGCCGACUCUGGUUCAUUUCAGUUGGAGAUUCUUACGGAUCGCGGCAGCUCGGGGUUCGAUUCCCCGUAUCCGAA